UACGAAGGGGGCUAGCGUUGCUGGAAUCACUGGGCGUAAAGGGUGCGUAGGCGGGUUUUUAAGUCAGGGGUGAAAUCCUGGAGCUCAACUCCAGAACUGCCUUUGAUACUGAGAAUCUUGAGUAUGGGAGAGGUGAGUGGAACUGCGAGUGUAGAGGUGAAAUUCGUAGAUAUUCGCAAGAACACCAGUGGCGAAGGCGGCUCACUGGCCCAUAACUGACGCUGAGGCACGAAAGCGUGGGGAGCAAACAGG
rnacentral:rRNA from 1 species